AGGAGAGGUAUUGCUGGAUCCUCCGGUAGUACUAUGUCCAAUUUUCUGAGGAACCGCCAGACUGCUUUCCAGAGUGGUUGUACAAGCCUGCAAUCCCACCAACAAUGGAGGAGUGUUCCUCUUUCUCCACAUCCAUGCCAGCAUCUGCUGUCACCUGAAUUUUUGAUCUUAGCCAUUCUGACUGGUGUGAGGUGGAAUCUCAGGGUUGUUUUGAUUUGCAGCAAAUCAAUAUCUUAUCAUGUCUCAAGGUUCCCUAUUCAGCCCUGAAGGUUUAUGUAGUUAAUGAGAAAGAUAUUUUAUUCAGUGGUGAAACCACUGAUAAGGUGGUCAGGUUUCUGUAAACAAUCCUAAUGAAACUUAUUGAGCCACACACUAAGAAAAAAACAAGAAAGUAGGCGAGGGAUUAGUUGGGAAGAAGAACAGAAUCACCAAGAGUGGGAGGGGGUACAAGAGAGAAUAAUGGGUGUGAAUGUGAUAGAAAUGUAUUAUGUGUAUUUAUAACAUUGUCACAAUGAAACCAAAUUCCAUGUAUAAUGAAUAUAUUCUAGUAAAAUGAAAAGCACUUAAUAAAUCUCACCAAGGAAAUGAAAUACCACCUCCGUGAAUAUUUGUAUGCAUCAAAGAAAUUAAAGACAUCCCUAGAAAAUGAAAAUACUAUACUCCUGGAUUGGCAAAAUUAAUAUCACGAAAUUAGUUUUAUUAUUAGGAAGAAUCUAUAGAUUCAAUGCUAUUGCCAACCCCCAAAUUACAGUGACAUUCUUUAAUAACAUAAAAAGAAAUCCUAAAGCUCAUAGAAUAAUAAAACUCCAUGUUUAGAUGAAGCAUUACUAAACAAAAAUCUAAUGGUCAAGUUAUCACAGUAUCUGAUUUCAAGUCAUAUAAUACAGUCAUACUAAUAAAAGUAAUAUAUUACUAGAAAAAAAAAGGGAUGUAGAUUAAUGGCAUAAAAGACCUAGAGAUAAAACCCUACAGCAAAAAUCAUAUAGUUUUUAU
rnacentral:lncRNA from 1 species